rnacentral:rRNA from 1 species
UACAGAGGGGGCAAGCGUUGUUCGGAAUUACUGGGCGUAAAGGGCGCGUAGGCGGCCCGCUAAGUCGAACGUGAAAUCCCCGGGCUCAACCCGGGAACUGCGUCCGAUACUGGCAGGCUUGAAUCCGGGAGAGGGAUGCGGAAUUCCAGGUGUAGCGGUGAAAUGCGUAGAUAUCUGGAGGAAUACCGGUGGCGAAGGCGGCAUCCUGGACCAACACUGACACUGAAUCGCGAAAGCUAGGGGAGCAAACGGG